rnacentral:rRNA from 1 species
GGAUCCAGACUUUGAUUCUGGCUCACGAUGAACGCUAGCUACAGGCUUAACACAUGCAAGUCGAGGGGAAACGACAUCGAAAGCUUGCUUUUGAUGGGCGUCGACCGGCGCACGGGUGAGUAACGCGUAUCCAACCUGCCCACCACUUGGGGAUAACCUUGCGAAAGUAAGACUAAUACCCAAUGACGUCUCUAGAAGACAUCUGAAGGAGAUUAAAGAUUUAUCGGUGAUGGAUGGGGAUGCGUCUGAUUAGCUUGUUGGCGGGGUAACGGCCCACCAAGGCGACGAUCAGUAGGGGUUCUGAGAGGAAGGUCCCCCACAUUGGAACUGAGACACGGUCCAAACUCCUACGGGAGGCAGCAGUGAGGAAUAUUGGUCAAUGGGCGAGAGCCUGAACCAGCCAAGUAGCGUGCAGGAUGACGGCCCUAUGGGUUGUAAACUGCUUUUAUAAGGGAAUAAAGUGAGUCUCGUGAGACUUUUUGCAUGUACCUUAUGAAUAAGGACCGGCUAAUUCCGUGCCAGCAGCCGCGGUAAUACGGAAGGUCCGGGCGUUAUCCGGAUUUAUUGGGUUUAAAGGGAGCGUAGGCCGGAGAUUAAGCGUGUUGUGAAAUGUAGAUGCUCAACAUCUGCACUGCAGCGCGAACUGGUUUCCUUGAGUACGCACAAAGUGGGCGGAAUUCGUGGUGUAGCGGUGAAAUGCUUAGAUAUCACGAAGAACUCCGAUUGCGAAGGCAGCUCACUGGAGCGCAACUGACGCUGAAGCUCGAAAGUGCGGGUAUCGAACAGGAUUAGAUACCCUGGUAGUCCGCACGGUAAACGAUGGAUGCCCGCUGUUGGUCUGAAUAGGUCAGCGGCCAAGCGAAAGCAUUAAGCAUCCCACCUGGGGAGUACGCCGGCAACGGUGCAACUCAAAGGAAUUGACGG